GAAAAAAUAAUAAUAAUAAAAAUGUUAAUACACUGAAAGGAAAGCUUUAACCUGCUGCUGUCUCCUUCGCUCUAUAUGUUUUUUAAAGUAGCGGUCUUUCUUCUUCCCAAUCCCGCCGCCUCGCUCUCUUACUCUCUCUUCCAUCUAUCGCGGUUCUUUAUCUGCUGGGCACCUCCACCUAUUAACCUUUCGAAUUAUAUAAGCAGGGCUCGAGCUGGUUAUUCAUGGAUGAUGCUUGAAAUCCUUUUAGUUGCAAGGGCAUAUUGUAGAACAUUGAAUGGUUUAAUAGGUCAUUCUUAAGUCUUCAUAGUGAGAAUUUUUAACCUGAUUUGGACUUGUUGAGAUUGAAACCCCUUUAAUUUUGGUUGAUAUAUGUUCUGCUGCUUUCAAUUUAACAAAAGAAUGCAAAGAAAGACUAAUUCGUUGAUUGUUUGGAAAAAAGAAAGCUCAGGGGUGACACCUGAAUAAUGCAAGCUGCUGAAUAAUGAAUGGCAUAAUUCUAGGUUUGCAGCUAUAUUGAGGAAAUGAGAUUUGAAAAGAGGUUGAGAUUGUCUUCUAACCAUUCAUCAUGGUUUUUGAUCCGUCAGGAGCAGCAAUUUUCUGCUUCAGAACAACUUUAGAUUUCUCAUCUCUUCAUGCGCUAGUAUAAAAGGUUCCUGGUGAAUAUAUCGAUAUGAAGAUUAUGAUUUGUGACAGCAAUAUGCUGCAGAUGAUUCUGAAGUAGACAAAAUUAAGGGAAAGGGUAAUUUGAUGAUUAUUUUGAGAUAUGUUCUGAGGACUCAGUUUCUUUUUGAUCCAUUUUGUUUCCAGUCUAGCAGCCAUGGUCCAUGGAUUCUUGUUCAUAUAUCCUUGCUAAAGGAUAACUGUGAAAUGAUUACCAGAAGGAAGAUGGAACUAAUAAGCAAGUCUCUGUUAUUGAUGCCAAGACAACUACACAUUGAUAUGGGCAUCUUAUCUUUUCAAUAGUUCAAUGUACAAUGAGUUGAGAGGUGAUUGAUGCAGAAUGGAAUACCACUAGCAUCAAUUUCUUCAAAAUGCAGCAUACUUACAAGGCUUCUUUCAUUCAUGCUUUUAGAUCUUUUGAUGGCAAAGAUUGUGGUUAUCAAGGGUGUCAAAAGUUGGUGCUCUGGUUUAAAAGCUGCAGCAAUCAACGUUCAUCUUUCGCAUUCUGCUUUACCAUUCCCACUCCCACCUUCUUCUUCUUCUCCAAGAUCGUCCCAUGUACGUUCACCACCUUCAAGUUGACAGGCUUUAGGUGGUUACCAUUGUUGCUCCUUCUUCUUGGUUUCCCUCAGUUACAGACUUCCUGUUUGCUUAAAUAUAUUCCAGAUGUAUUUGGAACGUUUUAUACGUCUAGCUAUAUACCCUUAUCAUGUGAUUGGACUCUCAUGAAAUUUUUGGUGCUCUGGCCCUUUGCUAUUUUUUUAUAGUCAGAACCAUGACAUAAUUUAAUGAAGCCUUUGGUAACUUUUUUCUUAAGUAAA